UAACAAAUUACUAGUUAGACAUUUUACGACUUCAGGUGUAUUCUUCAAUUCAAUCUGGAGAACCAGAUGGGCAUGGUUUGCAUAUUUAGGGCUAUUCCAUUGGUUCUACUGUGCUCGGCAAGCUCAAUUAAGUGUAACAAAUACAGAACCCAGGUCUGAUGGCUACCUGUCUUUUGCUCCCCCACCUCCAAGAGUGUUUCUCUAACGGAAUGAUGACUGCGCUGGCGAUGAAGGUGGAGUCUGCUCCCGGUCUGAACCACCUACAGUGAUGAUCGCUUCGCCUGCUUCCACUUCACUGUGAACUCCUGUGGCACCACCAGGAAGGUUAAAGGUUUCCUGCUACUAUGUGGUCAACAUCACUCGCACAUUGGCCUUCCUGACCAGGACGCUUGACAACGAGCCUUUUGCAGAGACUGGGACGGGUCAACUAAUGUUCAGAAUGAGACUCGUUCAGGACGCCUCGUAUAACACGUUCCACCAGGAGGAGGACUAUCCAGUGGUGAGGUACCUGAGACAGCCUCUGCACUUUGAGGUGGAGCUGACCAGGUCCUCUGACCCCAAGGUAGCGCUGGUGCUUGACCACUGCUGGGCCACCCUCAACGAGGACCGUGACUCCCGACCCCGGUGGAAUCUCAUCAUUAAUGGGUGUUGUUUUUGGGCCUAAACAAGUGUUAUUCCACAGGUGUGGUUCCUGAGUAAUUAGCAACCUAUCAUGCUUGGCAGGCCAUUUACUUUGGCUACCGUGGCUAUGCCCCCAUCCAUAUGUCAUGAGUGGUCACAAUGGUUUGAGCCAAUGGUUUGAGCCAUGUGCGGUCUGUCACCAGAUCUCCACCCAAUAUAACACUUAUGGGAGAGUCUGGCGCGUACGAUCACAUGCUUGUUAUCACUGACUGGUCCCUGCAGCGGACCAUUGGAACAUGUAAAUCUAGUUUAGAAAAUAUGGCAGCCAUGUUUGUCAAGCAAGAACUCCCUAAUCCCAGAAUGCCGUUCACUGUGCCCAUUUCCUGAGGUCUUAACUUAGUUUGGCCACUUCAGCAUGUGACAAAUCUGUGUACUUGUUACGGCGUACACAUGACAAGUAGUUUACAGUUAACUAAUCAAAAAGCCAAUACAACCUUAGCACGAAAGCUAAACAGAGUUGCAAGAUAUAGCUCAAUCCAUUUUGGGAGGUGAAGUCCUUGGGGGAAGGUAUUAUGGAGAGGAUGAUGCAGGAAAUAUUAAUAAGAUGGGGGAUUUAUCAACAAUAAAUGGCGGGGCAGACAGUUUUUCUAAGCUAAAUAUCCCUGGAAAGGGGGUCUGAUCUGGCAACCCUGAGGUACCAUAGUUUACACUCUGAUGCCGUGUUCAAAUCAACUAACGAAUUCAGUGCAUUCAAGACAAUGGGGGUACUCCAGUUGAGAUCACCAUUAGUCUGACAGACGCGUACGUGAUAACCUGACUGCAUUGUAUGGCGUUAGCAUUAGCUCAUAUUCAGUACCACCUUCAAAAGUGUUUUACACACGUGUCCAUUACAAUCUAGGCAAGAAUCAGAAAGCAUGAAUAAAAUGCUAAGUACAUUAUACUUACGGUACACUACAGUAGAAACGACAACACGUUACACAGAAAAUAAGGCACUUUGAUCAGAAUGCACGCAUGUCCACAGUUAUUUGUAAGGAACACAAUAAAUGUUCAAGGACUGUAUACUUGAUCUGUGGAAGUGCUUGGGCUUUCUUUUGAAGGAAAGUUUGUCCGGCUCAUUAAAUUCUCAAAUGGAAAUGAUCUGCAACAGUGAAAUGGGUUACAUUUGUGAAUGAAUGAGGCAAAAUUAGAAGUUGAAACGGCCUAUAGAAAAUUAGCAGGUAGUGUGCCUUGGUCUGAGGUCAGCGCGGGUUAAAUGUCCACAUGUUGGAACGGUGAGUGCAUUCUGACAUCACGCGCAUAAAAUCAACUCCCACUGGGGCGACUGUUGAAGAUAUUUGGAACUCGUGUGUGAAAAGGUUAAUGUUGGCGUUACCUACACCUUUUUACUCAAUGUUAUCCUUUUGGUUGGCUAGAGUUCAGUGUUGUGCCAAACUGAUGGUCAGUCAAAUGGAAAUCAAGAGCGGCUGGCAAGCUUGGCUUGCCUUUCCGAUUGGUUUCAAACAACUGCUCUUAACACUGACUGAAUAGUUGUUGGUUUUUUGUUGAAUUCAGGCACAAGUGACUGUCCUAGAGGAAUGCGCUAAUUGGGAGUUGCUAAACAUGAACAAAUACCACGGUCAAGUGUAGCAGCAUCUUGCUAACCUUAUUUAGCUAGCUAAUGUUCAUGUAAAAUCCCUUUUGCCUGAUA